rnacentral:rRNA from 1 species
CCUACGGGAGGCAGCAGUGGGGAAUAUUGCACAAUGGGGGAAACCCUGAUGCAGCGACGCCGCGUGAGUGAAGAAGUAUUUCGGUACGUAAAGCUCUAUCAGCAGGGAAGAAAAUGACAGUACCUGACUAAGAAGCCCCGGCUAACUACGUGCCAGCAGCCGCGGUAAUACGUAGGGGGCAAGCGUUAUCCGGAUUUACUGGGUGUAAAGGGAGCGUAGACGGCAGCGCAAGUCUGGAGUGAAAUCCCAUGGCUUAACCAUGGAACUGCUUUGGAAACUGUGCAGCUAGAGUGCAGGAGAGGUAAGCGGAAUUCCUAGUGUAGCGGUGAAAUGCGUAGAUAUUAGGAGGAACACCAGUGGCGAAGGCGGCUUACUGGACUGUAACUGACGUUGAGGCUCGAAAGCGUGGGGAGCAAACAGGAUUAGAUACCCUAGUAGUC